rnacentral:rRNA from 1 species
GGUCUGAGAGGAUGACCAGCCACACUGGAACUGAGACACGGUCCAGACUCCUACGGGAGGCAGCAGUGGGGAAUAUUGCACAAUGGGCGCAAGCCUGAUGCAGCCAUGCCGCGUGUAUGAAGAAGGCCUUCGGGUUGUAAAGUACUUUCAGCGGGGAGGAAGGGAGUAAAGUUAAUACCUUUGCUCAUUGACGUUACCCGCAGAAGAAGCACCGGCUAACUCCGUGCCAGCAGCCGCGGUAAUACGGAGGGUGCAAGCGUUAAUCGGAAUUACUGGGCGUAAAGCGCACGCAGGCGGUUUGUUAAGUCAGAUGUGAAAUCCCCGGGCUCAACCUGG